rnacentral:rRNA from 1 species
ACCUGUACCCAUGCCGAACACAGAAGUUAAGCCCUAGAACGCCGGAAGUAGUUGGGGGUUGCCCCCUGUGAGAUAUGGAAGUCGCUUAGC